UACGUAGGGGGCAAGCGUUGUCCGGAUUCAUUGGGCGUAAAGAGCGUGUAGGCGUCCAGGUAGGUCGGUUGUGAAAACUGGAGGCUCAACCUUCAGACGUCGACCGAAACCAUCUGGCUAGAGUCCGGGAGAGGAGAGUGGAAUUCCUGGUGUAGCGGUGAAAUGCGCAGAUAUCAGGAAGAACACCCGUGGCGAAAGCGGCUCUCUGGAACGGUACUGACGCUGAGACGCGAAAGCGUGGGGAGCGAACAGG
rnacentral:rRNA from 1 species